GGGGCAUGUGGGACGGAACCCCCAAGAACCAGUACAGUCAGAUGGUCUAUGAGAACGGAGAACCCUGUUGGCAGGGGGGUUCACGGAGCACCACGGUCACUCUGACAUGUGGAACGGAGACAGGCCUGCGAUCGGUGAAGGAGCCCAGUAAAUGCCAGUACAUCAUGGACUUCCAGACUCCUGUGGCCUGUCAGCCGGUGCUGAAGCAGCGGGGCGUGCACAGUGAACUGUGACCCAUCCUCACUGCUCUACCCUACAUUAAACACCCCCCCCCCCCGUCGGCUCGCCUGCGGUGACAGGCCGGGGUCCUGAGGGUCCCCUCUGACAUCUGUGUUGUCAGAACAUAUACGCUUCCAAAAAAAAGUCCAGCUAAGGCCGGACUCCAAUGUUCACACACUGUUUUAAUCCACUUCUGUUUUCAGUCGGUGACGCCGUGGUUUAGACCAGCGGUUCUCAACUGGUCCGGCUUCAGGACCCACAGGCCACAAC